rnacentral:lncRNA from 1 species
AAAUGAACCGUUGGAAAAAAAUAUAAUGACCCUGAUGGAAAAAAUAGAAUGUCCCUGAUGGAAAAUAGAUGGUAUUUGAACCUAUACGGUUCAGUAAAUCGGAGGCUGAUGUUACUGUGACCCUUAAUGGAAUGAAAAUAGAAAGCCUACUUUGUUUUAAAUUCUAUAAAAUAGAAUGACACGAUGAAAAAAAAUAGAAUGACCCUGAUGGAAAACGUAUGGUA